ensembl:lncRNA
GUAAUGUGACAAUAAACUACAUUUACAUAUUUAUAUCAGUUAAUAUAUUCAUAGACAUUUAGGACCAAAUGUUGAUUGAAUUGUGCUUAAGUGGACUAACUAUGCUGUUUGCCUGGUCUGCCUGUUGCAGGUCUUUGCAGAAGAUGUCUACGUUGCUGAGCUGAUGGUGGAGAGCAACACCACGCUGGAUGCCCAGUUCAUCCUCACACUUCUGAAUGGAACAAGCUCCCUCUGGGUGACGGGUGCAGGCGGGACAAACUACACUGUGACCCUCACAAACUCACUGGUGGCAGAGUGCCUCGUCAUUGGAGACGAAACCAGCUGCAACUGCUCUACUGGGUACGCUUGGAGCAACGAGGUGUGUUACAAAUACAACUGCUGCCGUGAGACUACUUGCAGAC